UCACAGAGUAAUCAAAUAAUUUAUCAGUUAAAACAUUUGCAUGCCAAUCUUUGACUGUUUAAAAUAUUAACCCUUGUUAGAGCAAACAAUGUCAGAAAAGAAAAGAUACUCAGGGUUUUGUUGAACUUUAUUCAUAAUACAGGCCACUGGAUCGUUUUACCAGGUUUGUUUACCCUCAGUAGUUAUUCAAGCUAAUUCACUAACAACCAGACACACAGUUAACUUGGUCCUGCCAGCAAAUCAUAUAGUAUUGCACUCCAUAGUAACCAAGGUUGUCAAUACUGAGUCUUUUAAGCUGACAUUAAAAAUAAGUUGUUAUUAUGUAUGUACAGGUCCACAAAGGUGAAAAUAAGAUUAACUUGUACCUGAAUGAUGGGGCGAGAAAUGUAUGCAGAAGGAAAGGGGCACCUGUCAUCAUUUCUCAACCAUGUGGGGCCAGUGUUAUGGCACGGGCAGUGGAACCAGUCAUUAGUGUUUAUUGAUGAUGUGACUACUUAUAUAAGUGGUAGAAUGAAUUCUGAAGUUUACAGAGCUAUACUGUGCUCAGAUUCAGCUAAAAGCUGCAGAUCUGAUUGGACAAUGCUUCACAGCGGAAAUACAUAAUUCUGCAAAAGCAACCCACGAGACAAGAGUUUCUCAAGGCAAAGAAAAGGGAUAUUCUGAUAUCGACAAGCAUACUUGUCAAGAGUGUAUUCUUAAUAAGACAUUCUUCAGGCUGAAUAAAGACACUCAAACAGUUAGAAUGUAAUAACAUUAACGUGCACGGGUGAGAACUCUGACGAGACUCACGCACGGGUGAGGACUCUGGCGAGACCCACACCCUGAGUGCAGGCACAGUUCUUUAUUUAUAGGUUACAUCGCGUAUGCAAAUACGUCACAUUUCCUCUUUUACAAAUUCCUUUAAACCAACAGUUGUAUAUGUGUGUGUGUGUCUGCUUCUUUCUAAAAGACGUGGCGCUGACUUAAUCUUUUGUGGUUAGGGAGUCGCGCAUCUGUUUUCCUGUUGUGGUUUAGGUUACAUCGCGUAUGCAAAUACGUCACAUUUCCUCUUUUACAAAUUCCUUUAAACCAACAGUUGUAUAUGUGUGUGUGUGUCUGCUUCUUUCUAAAAGACGUGGCGCUGACUUAAUCUUUUGUGGUUAGGGAGUCGCGCAUCUGUUUUCCUGUUGUGGUUUAGGUGCCUCAUCCGUUUUCUAUUGUAGUCUGGGUGACCCGCAUCUGUUUCCUGCUUAAACUAUAUGUAUUGCAGAGUUCACUGUCGGGUUGCAUGACAAUGGAGCAAUACAUCGAAUCUUGUGACAUGGAGAAGUACAGCAAAUUCUGUGAAAUAUAUAAACACUUUACAAUAUGCUUGAAUAUUAAAAGAUAAUAAAACAAAGAAUAAAACACAUAAAAAACAUAGAAUCUCAUAAC
ensembl:lncRNA